CCUACGGGUGGCAGCAGUGAGGAAUAUUGGUCAAUGGACGAGAGUCUGAACCAGCCAAGUAGCGUGAAGGAUGACUGCCCUAUGGGUUGUAAACUUCUUUUAUAUGGGAAUAAAAUGUUCCACGUGUGGGAUUUUGUAUGUACCAUAUGAAUAAGGAUCGGCUAACUCCGUGCCAGCAGCCGCGGUAAUACGGAGGAUCCGAGCGUUAUCCGGAUUUAUUGGGUUUAAAGGGAGCGUAGGUGGAUUGUUAAGUCAGUUGUGAAAGUUUGCGGCUCAACCGUAAAAUUGCAGUUGAAACUGGCAGUCUUGAGUACAGUAGAGGUGAGCGGAAUUCGUGGUGUAGCGGUGAAAUGCUUAGAUAUCACGAAGAACUCCGAUUGCGAAGGCAGUUCACUGGACUGCAACUGACACUGAGUCUCGAAAGUGUGGGUAUCAAACAGGAUUAGAUACCCUAGUAGUC
rnacentral:rRNA from 1 species